UUUAAAGACUUUGAAAGUAGGUAAAUGCAGCGAAUAAAAAGAAAGCAGGGUAAAAAGUUUGAUGAUGUUUUUAACUAGAUGUUCUUUUAUCAUUAAAGGAAAGAUUUCUGGUUUUUGCGGUAUUUACUUAUGCUUAUAGCGGUGGCCUGAUACAAUUAAGUCGUUUUCUGAUGGACGUCCGUUUGAUUUAGUAUUCGCGGUAAUUUAAUGGGCGAAGGUAAAGGAGAAUGACGCAUGAAUAAUUUAUUUAGGAAACUGGAAAAAACCUUCGACUACACGCAACUCGUUCGAGAUCAUUUUAUCCAAACGGUUAACAAGCUACGCUAUGAAUGUAAAAUUGCUUUUACUGUUUCGUACAAUUCGUUAACAAAUUUGCUUUCGGUUGAUUUGCAACGAAGAGAUGAACGUUUUAUCCGUUGCGAAAGUUUCGUAAGAGAAAGAUAAACAUUUCUGGGCAACUUUUAGCAAAGGAGGAACAUACCUGAACGUUCAAGGAUUCAGUUCAAGAUUAUAUUGGCAAAGAAGUCCGUAGAAAAGCCAGGAAGUUUAACGUUUGUAAUCUCCGACAAACGUAUAAUUUAAUAUCGCGAUCUUUAAAAUGUUAACGAGCUCUUCAGAGAAUUUCUAAGUGACUACGAAUGUACUUUAGUAUUCAAAUAAACGAAGACUAUUGCUCCGAUAUAAAUACCUUUUGAAACUUAAGGAAACAUUAUGUCCAAGUGCAAAACAGAUUUAAGGCUUUAGCCGGACAGCUAAAGAUACAAAUUCGACCAGAUUCAAAAUUUAGAAUGCGGAAAUUAAAAUUAUUCGUCGAUACGUUCGUCGGAUGAAUUUCGAGUUUUUGAACUUCAAAAGGUUUUCGAGAAAAAGAGACGCAGGACUUUUGCUGGCGGAUCUUUGGGGUAGGCACGUGCCGAACGCAUUGUUCCUUUUUUGCCGAACACGAAACAGAAAAGAGCGGCUUUUCUUCGACGUGUAAACGGGACUUUAUGCGCUGGUUAUUCAUGCCAUUCGCGUGUACGUACGAGCUUUCGCACAUUUACGCUACUCAUUCAUACAGGGAAAGAGAUAUAAAUACGCGUGCGCGUUUGCGAACACGUGCGCAUACACCCACGAUGCGUAACGACCGUGUAAAGUCCCCUACUCUUUUCCGAAUCUCCGCCACUCUACGAUUUCCCCACUCCUUCCAUUGCCAUCUCCUCGUCGUCCCCGUUAUUACUCGAAAACCUUUUAUUUAUUUAUGGAAUACAUUUCAAGAUUCAAUUUUGUCCACCUAAGUACAUGCUCGCCUCGCUUAUAUCCGUCGUUUGUUUGUCCUUUGUUUGUCCGUUUUGCUUUAUACCUUUCACGUCUCUGAUUCUUUCCUUCUUUCUCCGAUUGUUUUAUGUGUUCGAGCGCAAAGCAUGCACGUUGCUCCGUCAAUGAAUUCUGAUCGCGCUAAGCCUUGUACCGACGGUCGGUAAAAAGUCCCUCUUGCAGAAGUUUGUAAAGUGAGAACACGUUCACCUAGUUGCAAUUAUGUACUCUGUUUAAUUCUGUUCUUGACACUCUGUGUCGUUUGAUCGCGAGCCGUUUUCACAUCCACGGCUAACCGUCGUGCCAAACGUGGUGCACGCAUGUUUAUUUGCAUCCGUGGAUAUUAAGAGUGCAUUACCCGAGUUUCGGUACUCGGAAAACGGAGACCAUUUCGCAAACAGCGCGGACCAAAGUUUCCAACUUAAAAGAAGUGUGGACAACGAUUAGCUUCUGAUUAAAACAAGAAGAUCGAUGUUGUAACGGAAGAGUAAUUUAAAGCAAACUAAUGUCAAUCAAAGAAACUGUAUUAAAUUACGUUAUGCUAACGCAACGAAUAUAAUUUGCAUAUUACUCGCGAGUACAUGCAAAUCCAAGGAAUUACUCGGCAUCUAUGUUUUACCUGGAAAAGAGUGCGCCACCGUAUACGUAACUGGGAAUAAACGUGGUUAUUAUUAGAAGAAAUUGUAUGCGGAUAUAACUAAUAAUGACGUAUAAUAGUAUUUUCGUCUCAUGGUGGAAACUGAAGGCUUGGAAAUUCGGUAGCCGCAUACAUAAGCGGCAGAAGCACGAUUAAACUUUAAAAUGCAAUUAUCUCAAAAUAACUGUGCUCGGCAGUUAGCAAGUCUGCGCUCAGUAGGGCAACGUAACCCUUAUAAUUGCUCUGAAUUAAUACAUCAAACAGCUAUGUUAUCUAACAUGCACUGUACUAUGGUAUGAAUGAUACUAUCUGUAAUUGCAUAUUCUGUUUAGAAUUACGCUUUCAGAAUUGGUUUAUGCACAUCAUUUAAAUAUCUCAGUGUUCGAAAUUUAUUUUUUCCCCUAUCCUUUUCUAUCGUAUAUUUAUUUAACGCCAUAAAUUUAUUUAAUAAUUUAUUUAAUAGAUACAUUAUUAAGAAAACCUGUUUGGAAACGCUCGUUGGAGUAUUUUGGUCGACGCAACUUUUACCUAAAUUAUAAACACCAUAUAGAGAGUUUUCGAAAGCAGCCUUUCAACUCCGAUAGAAUUAUUCUUUCUACAGGCUUUUCUCUUUUCCCCCGUUUAUCCUUUGUUACUCUUUCAAAGAAUUCUUUUUAUCUUGCUUGUGAAAUUUGUUAAAUUCUUUCUGAAAAAUACUAACAAUAUUACAUUUUCACGUGGAAAAAGUUAAAAUCGACGUAACUAAAAUUGUUUUGCUUCUUUAUGCCGUGAAUUUUCCAAUCUAUUAUAAAAAUUUCUAGCUAAAUGAUGGCUCGGUUAACAGGUUGAAAACUUUGUUUGUUGAACAAUAUUUCAAGCAUUCGAUGCUCUCGUAAUAUUUCCAUCGUUCAUUGUAAAAAUAAAGCGAAACUACAACACAACUUUUAAUGCAAUUAGAAAUUCGCUCUUUUCGCGCGGUCGUGUCGGAAGAAAAAUUGAAGUUGAGUUAAUUAAUAAAGUUGGAGAUUGAAGGCAGAUGCUUGGGAGAAUUCGCAGAAUGCGAAAAAUUUACGACCAAACUAUUCGAUCGCGAAGUUCGUCAAAUUGUCCUGCUGUGAUCGUUUAAAAUAUCAAACGCUGUAUGUUCGUAGGAUCGCGUAAUUAUUGUAAUUUAUUAGAUUCUCGUGAGCAAUGCGACGAGCAAUAUCGUUGGGAAUUCUGUAAACGUUGGGAAACAUUAGGAAGAAAGGAAGGAAGGGAAAAUGUUGGUGAAUCGUGGAUGGUUAUUCUCACCAAAUGCCGUGUUGCGAAAAUCGAGAUGAGCGAGACUUCCAUUUCGCUAUUGCUCAUUCCACCUCUUCAGCGACUAUGUCAAGAUGAAAUUCUCGAAAUAGACGACUUCGCAAUGGAGAGAAACGUGCAACAGAGACACUAAAGAACCAAAGAAUCAGAGUGAAAAUGAAAAUUCGGUUAAGACUCUUUUAAUCCUAUCUAAAUCGUUGUUGCACAAUUUUAUUCGACGUUGCUCGCAUAUUUAACGAGUCGUCAAACUGUUCUUCAUGAUUUCCAAUAUUAUUGUUACGGCUCUUUUGUACAAUAGUUCACCGACUAAUAGUGUUAGUAAAAUCGAUUUCACGAUUUUAUAUAAUAUUUGUCGAGCAGGAU